UACAGAGGUCUCAAGCGUUGUUCGGAUUCAUUGGGCGUAAAGGGUGCGUAGGUGGCGCCGUAAGUCGGGUGUGAAAUUUCGGAGCUUAACUCCGAAACUGCAUUCGAUACUGCGGUGCUUGAGGACUGGAGAGGAGACUGGAAUUCAUGGUGUAGCAGUGAAAUGCGUAGAGAUCAUGAGGAAGACCAGUGGCGAAGGCGAAUCUCUGGACAGUUACUGACACUGAGGCACGAAGGCCAGGGGAGCAAACGGG
rnacentral:rRNA from 1 species